AAAGGGGGCAAUACGGUAAGACGUGUCAAGACGCGAUACCACUCGGAUUUCGAGAUGUCAAACCGCCUUACGCCAUAUGUAUUGAAAUUGUUCGGGAGACAUGGUUCGAGCCCCCUUU
rnacentral:rRNA from 1 species